AUUUCCGUAGGUGAACCUGCGGAAGGAUCAUUAGUGAAUCUAGGACGUCCAACUUAACUUGGAGUCCGAACUCUCACUUUCUAACCCUGUGCAUCUGUUUUAAAAUUGGCUAGUAGCUCUUCGGAGCGAACCACCAUUUUUCACUUAUACAAACACAAAGUCUAUGAAUGUAAACAAAUUUAUAACAAAACAAAACUUUCAACAACGGAUCUCUUGGCUCUCGCAUCGAUGAAGAACGCAGCGAAAUGCGAUACGUAAUGUGAAUUGCAGAAUUCAGUGAAUCAUCGAAUCUUUGAACGCACCUUGCGCUCCUUGGUAUUCCGAGGAGCAUGCCUGUUUGAGUGUCAUGAAAUCUUCAACCCACCUCUUUCUUAGUGAAUCUGGUGGUGCUUGGUUUCUGAGCGCUGCUCUGCUUCGGCUUAGCUCGUUCGUAAUGCAUUAGCAUCCGCAACCGAAACUUCGGAUUGACUUGGCGUAAUAGACUAUUCGCUGAGGAUUCCAGACUUGUUCUGGAGCCGAGUUGGGUUAAAGGAAGCUUCUAAUCCUAAAGUCUAUUUUUUGAUUAGAUCUCAAAUCAGGUAGGACUACCCGCUGAACUUAAGCAUAUCAAUAAGCGGAGGAAAU
rnacentral:rRNA from 1 species